rnacentral:lncRNA from 1 species
UCUGUUGGAUGAUCAGGUGCACAACAGACACCACACAACCUUGGUUGAUUGGCUGUCAUCACAUUCUGUUGUUAACCAAUGGCUAGCUGUCUUACAAGGGAUGUCAAUUUUGUAAGUUUAUUCUCUAGCCUCUAAUUAUCAGCAACCAUAGAAAUAGAAACUUCAUUUGCAGCAGUCCUGGAUGGCACAACAACUCUAGUACCAAAUUACUAGUAAUUUACCGCCAUGUUGGAAAUCAAUUUUCUAACAACAAUAGGAGUUUUUCCCAUUAAAGCGUCUGCACUAGCUGCAUCGAUCUUACUUUUGUCUAUUAACACCAGC